GGAAUUGGUCGUUGCUCCUAAUAAUCGAGGUAACUGAACAUUAAUAAAAGUCCUCUUUCUUUAUAUUUUCACAGUAUACUCGUGCUACAACACGACAUCCACCCCCUCUGAACUUGUGCAUCCUCCGGUAUGCACCAAUUUAUCCAAUGGCUGUUUGAUUUAGAAUAUAUCCUCUACGUCUUUGUCUAGUUCAUCUUCGUCACCUUCAUUAUCCAAAUCACUUUCAUCUUCUUGCUGCGGAAUCUCUAUACCUUCAUUAAGGUCUUCCAUAUUCAUCUCCGUGUGUCUUCGUUUAAAUAUUUUUACUCGCUUCCCUGCAAUUGGUAUUUUCAAUUUUGUACCAUCUAACUCCCGUAAUGAAUAAGUCGCAUUAUCAUGAACAGUUGUUACUACAUAUGGUCCAAACCAAUGUUUUGAAAAUUUCCGCAAAGUACUAUGUUGAUUAUUCAGACUAUUAUCAUAAACAAGUACCCAGUCACCUUCCUCAAUUGCUUUAGGUCUCAAUCGAUGUUGCUUAUCGAAUCACGCCUUGUUUUGUAACCUUGCGCUUUUUAACCUUUCCAAUGCUAUCUGCACAUCUUCCGAUCUUUGCUCCAAUUGUCGAAUCC
rnacentral:lncRNA from 1 species